ensembl:snRNA U6 U6 spliceosomal RNA
CGAGUCCUCACUUUAGUAGCACUAAAAUUGGAAUGGUAAACAAAAGAUUAUCAUGGCCCUGUGCAAAGAUGACAUGCAAAUUCAUUGAAGCAUUCCAUAAAUUA